ACGACAACAAAAAAGGGAGUAAUCCUACCUACUGUAAGAGUCAUGACUCUUGAUUGCAGCUGACAGAAGCUCAUGACAGCCUGGUUUAGAUAAAAGGGGAAAGGACGACUGGAAGAAUCUUGGAGUUGGGAAUAUGGCACAUAAUUGAAGGAAGAGCAAUAAAACUAUAAUUCUUCCCGUGGAGACUGGAGUUUCCAGGAUGUGAAAAUUACCUCUGCUUGGGUGAGCUAUUCCAAGCAGCUGGGAUACCUGUGUCACUCCUGCUGUCUGCCAGUGACUGCCCAGGUGUCCGCUGGUUCCUCCCCAGGAGUAGGGAGGAACCAGGUGGGCUGGCUGGGAUGGGUGGAUAUUUAAAGACCAGGCCUUGGACGCUGCAGCACUUGUAUCUCUGCUUGAGGCCUGCUGCCAUGUGGCUGGUCCUCCUCCUCCUGCCGUGACUGAGCCCCGGGAUGAAGACAGACAGAGUCUGCUCUGUCCCCUGCCAGGCUGGAGUGCAGUGGUACGAUCUCGGCUCACUGCAAUCUCCACCUUCUGGGUUCAAGCGAUUCUCCUGCCUCAGCCUCCUGAGUAGCUGGGAUUAUAGGCAUGCACCACCAUGCCUGGCUAAUUUAUGGCAUUUUAAAUAGAGACAAGGUUUCGCCAUGUUAGCCAGGCUAGUCUUGAACUUCUGACUUCAGGUGAUCUGCCUGCCUCUGCCUCCCAAAGUGUUGGGCAGCUGCUCCCAACCCCAGCAACUUUGCUAUCUUAGAACGGAUCACCAGUGAAAGAGGGGAAGUUGCUACUGUGAUGAAUUCUGCCAUGUGGUACCAGACUGCUGCCCAGACCACAGUGUCCUCUGCAACCCUGGUAACUCACAUACAGGCCUGAUUCCACCUACAGCAAAGCUGGAUGCUAUGGUUGGCAGAGGCAAGCCCCUUGCCUGCACUUCAGGCCAAAGCCGGGAUGUGG
rnacentral:lncRNA from 1 species